rnacentral:rRNA from 1 species
UACGUAGGGAGCGAGCGUUGUCCGGAUUCAUUGGGCGUAAAGAGCUCGUAGGCGGCUUGGCAAGUCGGGUGUGAAAAACUCCAGGCUCAACCUGGAGACGCCACCCGAUACUGCCAUGGCUAGAGUCCGGUAGGGGGACCACGAAUUCCUGGUGUAGCGGUGAAAUGCGCAGAUAUCAGGAGGAACACCGAUGCGAAGGCAGUUCUCUGGGCCGUAACUGACGCUGAGGAGCGAAAGCGUGGGGAGCGAACAGG